GGGUGCUGGGCAGGUAUGGUUACAUUGCGGAGGACUGAAAAUCCUUAGAACAAAGUUCGAUUCUUUGAACACCCA
rnacentral:tRNA from 1 species